GCGCCGGGGCCGCCUCGCGCUCCUGGCACCGGGCCGAGCCGCCCGCGCGCCCCGAGGUGCGGAGGGGUGAGGGUGCCGCACUCGGGAGUUUUUGAGUGACUUAAUGAAGCAGCUUGACCGUCUCAUGCAGCAAAGUGUAAGAGGAUAGAGCAAGGUUAGAUUUGUAGUUUGCAUCCUGCUGAACUUUUGUUUCUCUCUUUUCUUGCCACUGGUCAUCACUUUUAUCCACCAAGCUUUUUAAAUAGAAGUUUUAAGUUCUUAGGUUAACUUAUGACAUUAGGAUAACUUCUCAGGUUGUUGCUGAAAAUUGAAUGUUUUUGCAGAAGUAUCUUGUAUCCUCCAAUUUAGCAGUAGGCAGAAACCCACACAGGUGUAUCCUGUGUUUAUUUUUUUCUAUUACCUGUUGACUCAUUUCUUAAAUUUUAAACCUGGUUCAGAUUAUAAAAAUCCCAGCUCUCAAGUCACUUAAUAUUUAUUAGCUUGUUAAACUGAACCCCAUCUGCUGCUCUGAAACAGAUUUGUUUUAGAAUUCUGUCAUAGGACUCAAGCAUUUCUUAGCAGAAGACAUCAUAAAGCUAAUUUUACCAUAGUUUCCUAAGAAAAGAGGUAAUAAAAAGGCAGUGGAAACUGUAGUCCUCCUUCAGAACAGGUAGCCUUUUUCCUUUAGAGCAUUAAUGUAUUUCUAAACACACUCGUUAACUAUAGUAGUUGAAUAUUUUUUGUAUGAUCAGCUGUGAAAAAGGUUAGCUUGGACAUGUUAAAACUUAAUUAAGAUUGUUUGUCAGUCCAUUAAGAGGAACUAGUAUGGCAGGAUAACUUUGUGAUGUCUCAUAGUACAAGCCCAAAAGGGCAUUCACUGAUCCUUAGAAAGUGGGAGUUUUGAAAAAUGGUAGGUGGAAAUAGUUUUCCAGACCAUGCAAUUAGAACGAAACUGUCUGCCAGCGGAAGCCAUUCAGCAAGGUUCAAAGCAAGCAGAUACUUGUGUGAACACCAAAACAGUCCAGUGCCUUUAUGACGAGAGCCAAAAAAACAUGUAGAAGAGAUUAAAGCAUAUGACUCAGGGUUCAAACUGAUCCUUCUGGGAAUGAGAACUGUACUUUUCUGUGCUACAGAAUAUUAAAGAGUGUCUUCCACAGUGGUCUCGUGCUCUCCCCGAGUCACCUGUGUCAGGGAGAGGGACCAGCAGGGUUGUGAGCUGGGCCACAGCUCAGGUGGGAGUGUGUGAAAUCAAAUUGCUAAUGGACAGUGCUGGGAAGGCCAAGGUUCAAAGGCCCACCUGCUGUAACCUGUUCCCACAUGGUGAUGUACACCAUCAGAAGCCUGUGAGCUUUGCCUGCAUGCAAAAUGUAAACACACUGAAUGCUGUGCCUGCCUGUGUGCCCAUGGAGCAUUGGAAGCUCUGAAUGUCAGGCUCCUGCACUGGCAGGGGUGGGUUUUUUGCCUGAGAGUGGAUUUGGGACACCCAAUCAGACUGAGCUAUUCCAGGUGCAUGUUUUCUUUGCUUUACAGAGCAACUGAAGGAAAAGAAAAUGAUAGUUGCCAGAAUGUUGCACGUUCUUGAAAUGUUAGACUCUGAAUGUCUGUUUGGAAGGCCGUUCUUCAUAUUUUAUGGUUUCUUUUUCCAACUCUUUUGUUGACUGUGUUUAGUCUCUGGUUUGAGUUUAACAUCCACCUAUUGCAUUCAUCACUUCCCAGCAAGACUAAAAAAUCAUGCAUUGCUGGAGUUCCUCUCUCAUGUGUCAGGACCCAUAUAUAGGGAUCAAAUAAUCCCUCAGAAUUCUGUUUCAUCAUCUAAAAUCCUAAACCCUGCCAUGUGGGCUUUGCUUGGAGAAAGGGCUUAACUCCCUGGAUAAUUUUGGGGCAGGGGAAGGUGUCUUCCUUUUAAGUUCUUGCUAGUAUUUCAGCAUCCUCCUUGCAGACACCCCUUGGUGCCCUGAGCACAGCAGUUCCCUCUAGUUUAUUUGGCCAAAAAGAAAACAACUCUGACAUGAAUGAGAAAAUUGUAUAAACAAAGCAAUUACUGUUUGGGUUAUAUUUUUUAAAUUACCGAUUUCCAGUAAUUGUUGUUUUUUUUCCUUAUCAGAAGGGAAUAAAUUCUGUUCAAUAGGUAAACAGAACCAUGCACUUGACUGAAAUGAGAAGCAGGUCCCAGGCUCUGCCUGCUUCUUCAUGUCUAGACAUUUGUGAGCCAAUCUGUCUGUCCAGAACAGCUCUAGACUUGCUGUUCUUGCUGCUGACACUUCAGCUGACAGGAAUCAGGAUUCAGAUGGUGCUGCAUCCCCCUCAGAAACAAAGAGAGCACAAAUCCACAUGAACCUUCACGUGUGUUUGAUCCAGCACAGUGCAUCAGUGAAGAGUGUUGGGAGCUGAUCCUCUGGGGACAGAAAUACACGUCCAGAAGUGAUCAAGUCCAGGUUUAGGAAGUCAAACUGUGGAGUAUCCAUACUAGCAAUCCUGUUGUGGCCCCAUGGGGAGAGUUUGAUACAGGUUGAGGAAUUAGACCAUUAUGGUUUCUACAUUGGAAUGAAGUUCUUGUGUAAUUAUUAUAACCCUGCUUCUGACUGGCUUGAAAAUGCCACUGCUUUCUAGUGAAUAGGUACUAUACCCCCAGUUGUUUGUUUGUCUGGUUUUACUUCUGUUUUAUUUAAACCAGUGUUGUACUAGAGAAAUACAGUCUCCUUGGUCCUGGAGUCAGCUGGAAAACUCUGGCUAGUGCAGAACACUGUGCUGUUUCUCCACAGUGGUGCAGAGCAGCCAGUCUCAGGCUGUCUAAUUUACUGCAGAAAGAUUUCUGAUCUUAUUACUCUGGUCUUUCUCCCUAGCAAAGGGAGUUAACAUACCCAAGUGUGUUGACUUUAAGUUCCAUGUAUUUCCUGGAAUAAGGAUUGCAAAUGACAGCUGGAUUUCUGGCAUGCUGAAAUUCUCCACAAUACAGAUAAAGCAGAAGGUUGUCAAAUACUUAAUUUUUUCAGAGGCUGGUGUUGGACAGUGAGGUGGAUUCCACUAAGAACUCGGUACCUCACAGACCUUGCGUCAAGUCAAAUAGCGUUUUUCGAUCUGUCUUUUUCUCCAAUAUGCUAAAAAAAUAAGUGGUAUUACAUAUAUAUAUAUAAUAAAUUAUAUUUAUAUAUAAGAAAAUCUUUUAUACACUCUCCUACAUCUGUUUCUUUGCCUUGGGAACACAAAAGAACAUUUUGACAGCUGGUAAUUGGUUUUGUUGAUUCACUGCUCUGGGGAUAUACAGCCAGUGUUGGGAAUGCACGGUGUGUUUUGAGCCGGCUUCAUCAUGGGCUGCUUGUUCUCAUGGUUUCAUUGUUGCUGCCUGAGAAACACAGUUUUAGGGCAAUAAAAUGUCGUGAGUUCAAAUAAAAUUUGGGCUUUUCUUCUAGCCUAUGGAAGUUGAAGGAGUCUCUUUGUUCGUGUUGGGGUAUGUGCAGUCUGUAAACUCUUAGGCAUUUGGGAGGAGUGAACUGGUGGAGGUGAGUUCUGCAGGUGCCACCAGGACACAGCACAUGUGUGUGUCCCCAGGGAAACCCUGGACACCCAGAGUUUGGAGUGGGCAGGAAACUGUUGUGUGUGCAGAAAGGCACCUGAGCAGUGGAUGUGCCAUACAGUGACAGACAAGAUCUGGCACCUCUUCCUCUUCCAGUGUUGGUUUGGCCUCUGGCAGGUCACAUAUUGAAUGGGAGGGGAAGAAGAUGUAAUGUAGCAUUUUCUAACUUGAGUUUUCCAAAAUUGUUAAUGCAGAGGGUCUGCUGCAUAUGUUAUGUUAAACUGAAGCUGGAGUGCCUGAAAACGCAUGUGAAGUCUAGUCAACCUAGUGUAUUUUCCAGGCAGAUCAUGCUGUGAUUCACCAGAAACAUUUCUUGUUCUAUUGCAAAAUACCAGCUUACAAGGGAGCUGCUGUUCUGCAGGCUUUGGAUUUCUCCCUGGUUAUGAUUUUGUCUGUAUGGAAAUGUAAAAUUAUAAUGUUUAAUAAAACACACCAUUAACUGUUCAGUAUCUGUUUUCAUCUUGUCACUUAAGUCUUCAGAGUAUUUUAAUCAGAAUGCUUUUUGUGGUUAUUAAAAUUCUGAAAAGUGUGGUUAUUUUUAAUUUGUUUCAUAAAGAGCUGAUUUUUACCUUUUUUGUGAGAUACUGCCCCUAACUUUGUUUCAUUUUCCUGAUGUUCAAACUAACAUGGGUUCAUCAGUUGAGUCGUAGCUUCUGUGGGGUCUGUGUGGCUUGGAGCAAGCUUUGGGAAAGCCUGUUUACUGAAAACUUGCAGCUCUGGACAGUUGGGACUAACUAAAAUAAACUGUGUUAUUUCUUUGA